UUUCCGUAGGUGAACCUGCGGAAGGAUCAUUAUUGAAAUAAACUUGAUAGGUUGUCGCUGGUUUUUUAAACAUGUGCACGCUUGUCAUCUUUAUAUCUCCACCUGUGCACCUUUUGUAGACCCAAGAUAUCUUUCUGAAUGCUCGCAUUCAGGUUUGAGGAUUGACUUACUUUCCUUAUAUUUCUUGGGCCUAUGUUUCUUCAUUAUACCCCAAUGUAUGUUAUAGAAUGUAAUGAAAUGGUUUAUAAACCUAUACAACUUUCAGCAACGGAUCUCUUGGCUCUCGCAUCGAUGAAGAACGCAGCGAAAUGCGAUAAGUAAUGUGAAUUGCAGAAUUCAGUGAAUCAUCGAAUCUUUGAACGCACCUUGCGCUCCUUGGUAUUCCGAGGAGCAUGCCUGUUUGAGUGUCAUUAAUAUAUCAAUCCUUGCUUGUCAAGUGGUUGGAUUUGGGGGUUUCUUUUGUUGGCUGAGGUCAACUCCCCUGAAAUGCAUUAAUUGUUCAUUGGUGUGAUAACUUCAUCUACGCUUAUGACAUAUCUCUUUCAUUAAUGUGACCUCAAAUCAGGUAGGACUACCCGCUGAACUUAA
rnacentral:rRNA from 1 species